UACGUAGGGUGCGAGCGUUGUCCGGAAUUAUUGGGCGUAAAGAGCUCGUAGGCGGCUUGUCGCGUCGGAUGUGAAAGUCCGGGGCUCAACUCCGGAUCUGCGGUGGGUACGGGCAGACUAGAGUGUGGUAGGGAGACUGGAAGUUCCUGGUGUAGCGGUGAAAUGCGUAGAUAUCGGGAGGAACACCUGUGGCGAAGGCGGCUUCUGGGCCUUACCUGGACUGCUGAGACGCGAAAGCGUGGGGAGC
rnacentral:rRNA from 1 species